CUUAACUUGGAAAUUAAACUCUGGAAAAUUUCUGGGAAUUUUGCCACAAAAAAUGAAGCAGCAGACUUCCAUCUUACUCCUGGUGGCACUUAUCACCAUCUGGACUCAUAUUUCUGUGGGUGGCACACCCACAGAAACACCCGUCGGGCACACCCGUCGACGAAUUUGAACUGGCUUUGAACCUAUCCGGCUUGAGGGUGGGUGGACUCAAUGAAACAGUGAUGGACCGCUGCUCGGAAAAUGCUUAUUGUUCGGAACGAUGUUGCUGGGACUCGUGGGCGGGGAGGUGGUACUGUUGCGGUCGAAAUGCGGGAUGUUGUCCACAAGAGACGAGCAAUGGAUGCUGCCGUUAGGUUUAGAUUAGUCUUAUAAUUUGGAACCUUAAUAAGAAUUAAGUAAUUCAAUAAAUAAUAACCUAAAUAAUAGUAAAAAUAACCUAACAAUAACCUAACAGUAAAAAUUAUCGACGUAAAUAUUUAUAUAUUCUCGCCAAAUAAUAGGUGGAACUUGCAUAAAAGUUGGUUAAAUUACAAUAAAUAAAAAAUCGUUA